GACGAACGUUGGCGGCGUGCUUAACACAUGCAAGUCGAACGGAAAGGCCCUGCUUUUGUGGGGUGCUCGAGUGGCGAACGGGUGAGUAACACGUGAGUAACCUGCCCUUGACUUUGGGAUAACUUCAGGAAACUGGGGCUAAUACCGGAUAGGAGCUCCUGCUGCAUGGUGGGGGUUGGAAAGUUUCGGCGGUUGGGGAUGGACUCGCGGCUUAUCAGCUUGUUGGUGGGGUAGUGGCUUACCAAGGCUUUGACGGGUAGCCGGCCUGAGAGGGUGACCGGCCACAUUGGGACUGAGAUACGGCCCAGACUCCUACGGGAGGCAGCAGUGGGGAAUAUUGCACAAUGGGCGGAAGCCUGAUGCAGCAACGCCGCGUGCGGGAUGACGGCCUUCGGGUUGUAAACCGCUUUCGCCUGUGACGAAGCGUGAGUGACGGUAAUGGGUAAAGAAGCACCGGCUAACUACGCG
rnacentral:rRNA from 1 species